AUGCCAAAUAUGGAGCAUAGGUCAUCCUUCACAACAUACUACUUUCUUUUUCUUUUUCUCCUCCUCGUUCUUGCUCACUUUUCAAGAGGGGAAUCAGAAGGAAUAUUGAGUUCAGAUUCAGAUAUAUAUGAGAUUGAUUAUAAAGGUCCUGAAACACACUCGUCAGUUCCUCCUCCAUAUAAUAAUCCUCAUUCAAUUUCACGAAAACACUUUGUCAGGGAACAGAAAGCUUUGGGUAGGGCUACUCUUGCAACAAAUAAGGCAAGUAUAUAUCUAUUAUUCUAG